rnacentral:rRNA from 1 species
GCUUAACACAUGCAAGUCGAGCGAGAAUCGUUUUGCUGAAGGCUUCGGUCUGACGCAGAAUGAGGAAAGCGGCGAACGGGUGAGUAACGCGUGGGCAACCUGGCCUUAAGAAAAGGAUAGCCCCCGGAAACGGGGAGUAAUACUUUAUGAGAAUGAAAGAGGGCAUCCUACUUUCAUUCAAAGCGCAAGCGCUUAAGGAUGGGCCCGCGUAUCAUUAGCUAGUUGGUGAGAUAACAGCCCACCAAGGCAACGAUGAUUAGCCGGUCUGAGAGGGCGAACGGCCACAUUGGAACUGAGAGACGGUCCAAACUCCUACGGGAGGCAGCAGUGGGGAAUAUUGCGCAAUGGAGAAGAACUCUGACGCAGCAAUACCGCGUGAGCGAAGAAGGUCUUCGGAUCGUAAAGCUCUGUUAUCAGGGAAGAAGAAAAUGACGGUACCCGAUGAGCAAGUCCCGGCUAACUACGUGCCAGCAGCCGCCGCUGUAA